rnacentral:rRNA from 1 species
AUUGAACGCUGGCGGCAGGCCUAACACAUGCAAGUCGAGCGAGCGGCGGACGGGAGAGUAAUGUCUGGGAACCUGCCUGCUGGAGGGGGAUAACUACUGGACACGGUAGCUAAUACCGCAUACCAUCAGAUGUGCCCAGCUGGGAUUAGCUGGUAGGUGGGGUAACGGCUCACCUAGGCGACGAUCCCUCGAUGGUCUGAGAGGAUGACCAGCCACACUGGAACUGAGCCACGGUCCAGAGGCCUACGAGAGGGAGCAGUGGGGAAUAGUGCACAAUGGGGGCAAGCAUGAUGCAGCCAGGCAGCGUGUAUGAAGAAGGCCUUCGGGGUGUAAAGAACUUUCAGCGGGGAGGCGUUACCCGCAGAAGAAGCACCGGCUAACUCCGUGCCAGCAGCCGCGGUAAUUC